GAUGAACGCUGGCGGCGUGCCUAAUACAUGCAAGUCGAGCGAACAGACGAGGAGCUUGCUCCUCUGACGUUAGCGGCGGACGGGUGAGUAACACGUGGUUAACCUACCUAUAAGACUGGGAUAACUUCGGGAAACCGGAUCUACUACCGGAUAAUAUAUUGAACCGCAUGGUUCCAUCGUGAAAGACGGUUUUGCUGUCACUUAUAGAUGGAUCCGCGCCGCAUUAGCUAGUUGGUAAGGUAACGGCUUACCAAGGCAACGAUGCGUAGCCGACCUGAGAGGGUGAUCGGCCACACGGGAACUGAGGCACGGUCCAGACUCCUACGGGAGGCAGCAGUAGGGAAUCUUCCGCAAUGGGGGAAAGCCUGACGGAGCAACGCCGCGUGAGUGAUGAAGGUCUUCGGAUCGGAAAACUCUGUUAUUAGGGAAGAACAAAUGUGUAAGUAACUAUGCACGUCUUGACGGUACCUAAACAGAAAGCCACGGCUAACUACGUG
rnacentral:rRNA from 1 species